CAGAUUGAACGCUGGCGGCAUGCCUUACACAUGCAAGUCGAACGGUAACGCGGGGGCAACCCUGGCGACGAGUGGCGAACGGGUGAGUAACACAUCGGAACGUGUCCUGUUGUGGGGGAUAACCCAUCGAAAGGUGAGCUAAUACCGCAUGAUCUGGAGACAGCAAAGCAGGGGACCGGAAACGGCCUUGCGCGAUUGGAGCGGCCGAUGUCCGAUUAGCUAGUUGGGGGGUAAAGGCCCACCAAGGCAACGAUCGGUAGCUGGUCUGAGAGGAUGAUCAGCCACACUGGGACUGAGACACGGCCCAGACUCCUACGGGAGGCAGCAGGUGGGGAAUAUUGGACAAUGGGGGAAACCCUGAUCCAGCGACGCCGCGUGUGUGAAGAAGGCCUGC
rnacentral:rRNA from 1 species